rnacentral:lncRNA from 1 species
AAGCGUAACGUGUACACCUAUUUAUGCCUCGCAGGCUGGAAGUGGUGGUGUUGCCAAGCUGUAACAUGGUGGCAUGAAAGGAUUUCACUGUGAUGGUGAAGGAGAUCAUACACCUGCUGUCUGAGAGGUGGAUGUCACAGCACUGUAAAGGAGGUGAGAAGAUCCAGUCUUUCUCAUAUGGUGUGUGAGAAGCUGCACCAGUGACCAGCUGGCCUUGUAGCCAUUAAAUCUUUGAUUUCAUCAGUCACUGGGUAGAUAAUUUUUGCAUGUUUGAGCAACGAAGAAAACAUCUAUAUAGGAGACCACUUCUAAGCUACAAAUGAAUAAAUUCUGCUUCUGAUUAAGACUGAUGUAACCAAGGCUGAUCCUUUGCAGCUACCUCUGGCAGAGAGAUGAUGAAGGCACAGUGGAUCAUAGUGUCUUCUGCAUCAAGCAACUGCUCUACAAUUAUCAGAAAAGGAAAUACAUUAAACAGUCAGGAUUUUAUAAAGAUUCUUCUGGCAGCUGCUGCAUAA